UCAAAACAAAAAUGAUAAAUAUCAAAUUAUGUAGAAACAACAGUAUGAUUAUUAAUUUAACUGAAUCGAGGUAGCUAGGUAUACUUACAGUACAGAGUUGCAGUCAAGAAGACGACGACGACGGAGAAGAAGGAUACGACGUCGUUGAAGAAGGCGAGACCAGACGAGGGAGGAGUUGAGUUUGCAGUUUAAUAAGGAACGCCGGGAGUGAUCGGACGGUCGAUAUUUGAUGGAACAAACCGAUGGUUUUGGAGGCCGGGGUAGACAUCGUCCGGAUCGUGGAUUUGGGGAUUUCGCUCGACGAUGAAGGGGUCGCCGCACUUGUCGCUGAUGGUGUGGAGAGUUUCGCCUUCCGAAACGACGUAGAUGUCGCUGCAGACGUGCGCCGCAUAGCUGCUGAGGAGGAGGAGGGCCAUGGCCAUGGCUACUGCAGCUGAAACAAGCAUUGGCCUGGAAGUGAUAGGAGAAGCCAUUUUUAUUACUUGGUAGUGUCUAGUUGUUGUUCAGUUUUUAUUAUGAGUUAGGUUCUUGUCAUGCAGUUCUUGGAGCGGGACACGAUGUGGUUUUUUUGGAGUCAGCUGCCAGUAAGAAGUGGGCUACUAUUUUGUUUUGUGGGUCCAUUGGUUGUUUAUAGAACAAGAACAAGAACGAGGAAAUAGUUGG